GACGAACGCUGGCGGCGUGCUUAAUACAUGCAAGUCGAACGGAAAGGCCCUGCUCUUGCGGGGUGCUCGAGUGGCGAACGGGUGAGUAACACGCGAGUAACCUGUCCUUGACUUUGGGAUAACUUCAGGAAACUGGGGCUAAUAUCGGAUAGGAGCUCCUGCUGCAUGGUGGGGGUUGGAAAGUUUCGGCGGUUGGGGAUCGACUCGCGGCUUAUCAGCUUGUUGGUGGGGUAGUGGCUUACCAAGGCUUUGACGGAUAGCCGGCCUGAGAGGGUGACCGGCCACAUUGGUACUGAGGUACGGCCCAGACUCCUACGGGAGGCAGCAGUGGGGAAUAUUACGCAAUGGGCGGAAGCCAGAUGCAGCAGCGCCGCGUGCGGAAUAACGGCCUACGAGUUGUAAACCACUUUCGCCUGUGACGAAGCGUGAGUGACGGUAAUGGGUAAAGAAGCACCGGCUAACUACGUG
rnacentral:rRNA from 1 species